rnacentral:lncRNA from 1 species
GUUCCACAGUUUUCCAGCUUUCAUUUCUCUUAUCAAUACAUUCUAUAUUAUUGUCACUGAACUGAUAGUCCAACGCCAUUGGACAGAUUACAGCUCAAAUCUGGGAAAUCCAGGUGGUAUUCAGUUGCCUUAAGUCUACUUAUUGAUUGACCCAUCAUUUUCCCAUGGCUUUGAUGUCUGUUUUUCAUCUUUUGAAGUUGCAGGUCCUAGUUGUGGCAUGUGGGACACCGCCUCAAUGUGGCCUAACAAGCAGUGCCAUGUCUGCACCCAGGAUCCAAACCAGCGAAACCCUAGGCCGCUGCAGCGGAGAGUGCGAACUUUACCACUCUCCAUGGGGCCGGGGCCCCUUGACCUGGUUUUGAUUGUGAAAAGAAUGUAAGCUUUUUAUGAACUAUUUGACAAAAUGAUUAACUAGCAAAGUUACCAAGUACUUGUUAAAUAAAAUCUCACACCUAAAGUCACAAGUUGGCUUCAUU